AAUAGAUACUGAACAAUACAUAUAAAAUAAAAAUAAACUAAAAAACUUAAACCAUCUUUAUUUUAUGUUUUUGAUUGCCAACUUCCUGUUUCUCGCAAAGUAUAUGCUUUUAUCCACACUGCUUUAGAAAUUUGUUUACAAUACUUUUUUUUUGAAAUCCAAAUCUUCAAUAUUUAUAUCAUAGUUAUUGCACAAGCCAAAACAUACAAAAUGUAGUUUGGAGCUGUUUGGUUUUUGGUCUGAAAAUCAACACAGUCAGAGGAUAAUUUAAUAUUCAAAAUAUAAAUAAGUUUAGAUUGUUUUGCUUUAGGAUUGUUGUUAUGGAUAUAAAACAAUCCUGGAUACAAAAUAAGGAUUUAUAUUAAUUUUAACUGCAUUUGUAUGUAUGUUUUGUUAGAAAAUAUAUUUUGUUGAUUAAAACAACUA